UCCAUUGAUGUUCCUUCCCUAUGAAAUACAUUGUGGCUAUCUCCACCAAGUGGGGAAUAGGUAUCUUAUAUAUUCUUAAGUACUGCUUACAUUUACUGCUCCAUUCUCUAGGUUCCUCUCUCCUAAAGGUUGGAAAAUCAAGUUUCAGAUAUGGUACAUGAAAAUUGGUUCUGCAUUGGGUUUCCUCCAUUCUGUCAAAUGGUCCAUGUGGA
rnacentral:lncRNA from 1 species